rnacentral:tRNA from 1 species
AAGUAAUUAGCUCAAUGGGUAGAGCGUUUUGUUUACACCGAAAUG